AUUAACCCGGCAGUGAGUGAUUAGUGAACCAAUACUCACAUCCAGGGGAGUGUCCUGAGGUUGGUGUUGAGCAAGCCCACUAUGAGUGGGAAGCCUGAACCAACACAUCUGCUCCCCACUUGAACUCAAGGGUUCAACAUCUAUACUGUCGGGCUAUCU
rnacentral:other from 2 species